UUAAUCAACAAAAAUACAUAGCGUUUAUCCUCGUUUAAUUGUGUGAUAUACUUGUCACUGCCAGCAACCAUUUAAAUGCGUCUGAACGUCAAUGAUUUCGGCUAGGCUAGUUAUUGGUAAUUCAAAAUAAAGCCCUCCUCCAAGUCAGGGGCGCCGGCCACGUUGAAGUCAAUCGAGCAGAGACAGCUUUUCAUUGGCGCAAGAAAAUUCGCCCUCGGGUCGCACCAGUGCGCCCCAGGCCAAUGGUAUCGCUUUUCUUUUUUGUUAUCACCACAUGAUUGGACAAUUCAGCGAAUCAAUCAAAUAGGCUACCUCCCUCAGCAGCACUCGCGCAACACAACUACAUGUAGAGAAGAGAUAGCUCGCUAAUUUGCAGGGAGUUGUAAGCACUUUGCACCCUUUUCAUUGGAGGAAUUGGACUCCCCAAGCAAUGUUAUACUUAAAAGGAGCAAACCGAGUACUCUAUCGAUGUCGGGUCUGGAGUCUGCCUGGGAUUGCAGGGGAACGCUGACUCAGACAUCGACUGUUUGGGAUUCCUCUUCAUCAAUGCCAUCAAGUCGUCUGUGCUAACCGACAUGACCUAUCCCAGCCUGGCCAUGUACACACCCCAGGUCAUUUUUUAUUCAGGACAUGGUUCUCAGCAGCUGGUUGAGGUCCCUGCCGACGCUCGGGGGCUGAGAGGCGGCGCUCUGCCGCAGGCCGGGCCCCAUCUGAUGGUGGAGGGCUCGGCACAGGCUGGUAGUCGCCCGG